CCCUCAUGGGCCGCGCUGGGACCCCCUCGCUGACCCGCAGCUUAGCUGCUGCGCUGGCGCGACUGCCUCUGGCUGAGUGGGGCGGCUACCGUAGUGUCACUGGGGAUCGUGUGUAAGUCACAGGAGGCUUCCCGGGAGAAGCGGCCGGGAGCGGACGCGUUGGAGACUACAGUUCCAGAAGAGAAUUGGUGGGGAGAGGAAUGUCCAGCCAGCAUAUGAGGCCAAGCUACUCAGUUCACGUUAAAUCACAGAAUGACUGCCAACUGGAGGUGCUGAACUACAUUAUGGAAGAAGAUACCUCUUCUGCACCUGUUUAGCUGAAGAUGGUAUUUAAGGUGAGGGUUUCGGCCAUUUUGGUGAGUUACUCAGUUUUCUUAGGUCU